AGAGUUUGAUCAUGGCUCAGAGCGAACGCUGGCGGCAGGCCUAACACAUGCAAGUCGAGCGGCCGUAGCAAUACGGCAGCGGCAGACGGGAGAGUAACACGUGGGAACGUGCCCUUUGGUUCGGAACAACACAGGGAAACUUGUGCUAAUACCGGAUAAGCCCUUACGGGGAAAGAUUUAUCGCCAAAGGAUCGGCCCGCGUCUGAUUAGCUAGUUGGUGGGGUAACGGCCCACCAAGGCGACGAUCAGUAGCUGGUCUGAGAGGAUGAUCAGCCUCACUGGGACUGAGACACGGCCCAGACUCCUACGGGAGGCAGCAGUGGGGAAUAUUGGACAAUGGGCGCAAGCCUGAUCCAGCCAUGCCGCGUGGAUGAUGAAGGCCCUAGGGUUGUAAAGUCCUUUCGGCGGGGAAGAUAAUGACGGUACCCGCAGAAGAAGCCCCGGCUAACUUCGUGCCAGCAGCCGCGGUAAUACGAAGGGGGCUAGCGUUGCUCGGAAUCACUGGGCGUAAAGCGCACGUAGGCGGCUUUCUAAGUCAGGGGUGAAAUCCUGGAGCUCAACUCCAGAACUGCCUUUGAUACUGGAGAGCUAGAGUCCGGAAGAGGUGAGUGGAACUGCGAGCGUAGAGGUGAAAUUCGUAGAUAUUCGCAAGAACACCAGUGGCGAAGGCGGCUCACUGGUCCGGUACUGACGCUGAGGUGCGAAAGCGUGGGGAGCAAACAGGAUUAGAUACCCUAGUAGUCC
rnacentral:rRNA from 1 species